AAAAAAAUGCUCACCUGUUACAAGACAGGCAGCACUUGUUAAUGUCUCUGUAAGCAAAGGUGGAAGGACAAUGAGGAAGGUUAAAGAGGGUUUGAAGUUUUGAGAUAGUUUAUAGUGCUGUCUGUAUAUCUCUAGUAGAUGUGGACAAUAGUGGAAUUCAUCUAGCAAGGCAGAAUCCAAUUGCUGUAUUUUUUUCCUUCUUCUAAUAUAUGUGCUGCUUCUGCAAAGAAAAUGAAUAAUCCUCUGGGGCUUUUAUGCAUGUCUGGUUUCAUCAGAUUCAGGGGAUAUUUCAGUGCCUGUAGAAAAAGAAGCAACACAACUUCCUUACCUUGCAAAGAAAAUCACGAGGCACGUUUUUGUUUCUUUUGCAAAGCAGCUUAGUGUCUAUCUGUUGAGAAGCCGUUUGGGAUUCAUGGACUGAAGGUACCUUUAUUCUUUUUUUUUUUUUUUCCUGUGCAAAAUAUCUGCACCUCUUGACCCCUCUUUCAUCCACUUCAUGUUCUAGUUGCUUGUCUUAAUAUAAGCAGUCUCUGAGUUGGCAACAUUUCAUGCAGGGGCACUACACUACCCUCAGCUUCUCUGCAAUUAAUAUUCUGUCCUGUCUCUUAAGCCCGGCCCUGUGUUCCUAAUGUCAGUUUGGCUUUGUUUAAUAUGACCAGCAAGGUAGCAUGUGUUUCCAAGCUGAGUCCUGCUGCCAUUUCUGGAGGUAUCUCCCAUUAAUCAAGAAGGCUACUUUGUCAUAGUGCAGCUAAUGUUAUCACCAAACUUUAAGUACAGAGGUGGAAUAAUAAUGGCUCCUGUUUCACUAAAUGGGGUUAACACAGCUGAAUAGCUUCCCUGAUGGUUUAUUAUGUUAGUCUUUCAGAACAUUGACUGAUUUGUUUUUAUUACCAAGAAAGCUUUUGUCUUAUGAAAAUGACUUGGGACCACAGGUCAAUGUUUUUCAUGUCACAUCUCCAUAAGAAAUACAUUGCUUCAUUAUAUUUUGUAUUCUGCCACUGCAAUCUGUAUGGCACUUAAAUUUAUUUGUCAUGACACCACUGCCAGGCUGCCAUUAAAUUGUUAAAGGAUAUUCAGGAAAUGUUUUUGCAGUAACCUUUAGAGGAAGACGUAUGGAAAUGGACUAUAUCUGUUAAUUGACUUUUUGAUAUGCAAAUCUUCCAAAGUGUAAGGC
rnacentral:lncRNA from 1 species